rnacentral:rRNA from 1 species
UACGUAGGGGGCAAGCGUUGUCCGGAAUUAUUGGGCGUAAAGAGCGCGUAGGCGGUCCGAUAAGUCGGCUGUGAAAGUCAUGGGCUCAACCCAUGAAAGCCGGCCGAUACUGUCGGACUAGAGUCCGGAAGAGGCGAGUGGAAUUCCCGGUGUAGCGGUGAAAUGCGCAGAUAUCGGGAGGAACACCAAUGGCGAAGGCAGCUCGCUGGGACGGUACUGACGCUGAGGCGCGAAAGCUAGGGGAGCAAACGGG